UGCUGGAGGUAUCAGAAGUGCGAAUGCUGACAUAAGUAACGAUAAAGCGGGUGAAAAGCCCGCUCGCCGGAAGACCAAGGGUUCCUGUCCAACGUUAAUCGGGGCAGGGUGAGUCGACCCCUAAGGCGAGGCCGAAAGGCGUAGUCGAUGGGAAACGGGUUAAUAUUCCCGUACUUGGUGUUACUGCGAAGGGGGGACGGAGAAGGCUAUGUUGGCCGGGCGACGGUUGUCCCGGUUUAAGCGUGUAGGUGUGUGUUCCAGGUAAAUCCGGUUCACUUUAACACUGAGGCGUGAUGACGAGGCACUACGGUGCUGAAGCAACAAAUGCCCUGCUUCCAGGAAAAGCCUCUAAGCAUCAGGUAACAUCAAAUCGUACCCCAAACCGACACAGGUGGUCAGGUAGAGAAUACCAAGGCGCUUGAGAGAACUCGGGUGAAGGAACUAGGCAAAAUGGUGCCGUAACUUCGGGAGAAGGCACGCUGACACGUAGGUGAAGUGAUUUACUCACGGAGCUGAAGUCAGUCGAAGAUACCAGCUGGCUGCAACUGUUUAUUAAAAACACAGCACUGUGCAAACACGAAAGUGGACGUAUACGGUGUGACGCCUGCCCGGUGCCGGAAGGUUAAUUGAUGGGGUCAGCGCAAGCGAAGCUCCUGAUCGAAGCCCCGGUAAACGGCGGCCGUAACUAUAACGGUCCUAAGGUAGCGAAAUUCCUUGUCGGGUAAGUUCCGACCUGCACGAAUGGCGUAAUGAUGGCCAGGCUGUCUCCACCCGAGACUCAGUGAAAUUGAACUCGCUGUGAAGAUGCAGUGUACCCGCGGCAAGACGGAAAGACCCCGUGAACCUUUACUAUAGCUUGACACUGAACAUUGAGCCUUGAUGUGUAGGAUAGGUGGGAGGCUUUGAAGCGUGGACGCCAGUCUGCGUGGAGCCGACCUUGAAAUACCACCCUUUAAUGUUUGAUGUUCUAACGUGGACCCGUAAUCCGGGUUGCGGACAGUGUCUGGUGGGUAGUUUGACUGGGGCGGUCUCCUCCUAAAGAGUAACGGAGGAGCACGAAGGUUGGCUAAUCCUGGUCGGACAUCAGGAGGUUAGUGCAAUGGCAUAAGCCAGCUUGACUGCGAGCGUGACGGCGCGAGCAGGUGCGAAAGCAGGUCAUAGUGAUCCGGUGGUUCUGAAUGGAAGGGCCAUCGCUCAACGGAUAAAAGGUACUCCGGGGAUAACAGGCUGAUACCGCCCAAGAGUUCAUAUCGACGGCGGUGUUUGGCACCUCGAUGUCGGCUCAUCACAUCCUGGGGCUGAAGUAGGUCCCAAGGGUAUGGCUGUUCGCCAUUUAAAGUGGUACGCGAGCUGGGUUUAGAACGUCGUGAGACAGUUCGGUCCCUAUCUGCCGUGGGCGCUGGAGAACUGAGGGGGGCUGCUCCUAGUACGAGAGGACCGGAGUGGACGCAUCACUGGUGUUCGGGUUGUCAUGCCAAUGGCACUGCCCGGUAGCUAAAUGCGGAAGAGAUAAGUGCUGAAAGCAUCUAAGCACGAAACUUGCCCCGAGAUGAGUUCUCCCUGAGACUUAAAGUCUCCUGAAGGAACGUUGAAGACGACGACGUUGAUAGGCCGGGUGUGUAAGCGCAGCGAUGCGUUGAGCUAACCGGUACUAAUGAACCGUGAGGCUUAACCUU
rnacentral:rRNA from 1 species